rnacentral:misc_RNA from 1 species
AAAAAGUUGAAGUUGAUUGAACCGAAGAGAUCGGUGAGUUCCGGUGAUGGAGACGAUGUUAGGGCUUCUAAGAGGAUGAAAAUGGCUGACGGAGGUUUUGAUAAGGCGCCGGAGAAGGAACCGAUGACUGAUGCGGAAGUUGAGUUUGUGAAUUUGUUGGAAGAUGAGCUUGAGAAAUUCAAUUCGUUCUUCGUUGAGAAAGAAGAAGAGUAUAUCAUUCGAUUAAAGGAGUUGCAAGACAGAGUGGCAAAGGCGAAAGAUCGUAAUGAUGAGAUUAUAAAGAUUCGCAGGGAGAUAGUAGACUUCCACGGGGAGAUGGUUUUGCUGGAAAAUUACAGUGCCCUCAACUAUACUGGGCUCGUGAAGAUACUCAAGAAAUAUGACAAAAGGACUGGUGCUCUUCUGCGCUUGCCCUUCAUUCAGAGGGUCUUGCAGCAGCCUUUCUUCACCACUGAUUUGCUAUACAAGCUUGUAAAGGAAUGUGAGAGUUUGAUCGACCGUCUAUUCCCCAUCAUUGACACCUCGUGUAUUGCCUCGGAAGCUGACGGAAAUGAAACUUCAACUAGCUGCACCAACAAAAACGAGGGUCUACUUAGAGCCCCAAAGGAGCUGACAGAGAUAGAGUAUAUCGAAAGCUUAUACAUGAAGAGCACCAUAUCUGCUUUACGUGCUUUAAAAGAGAUUCGGAGCAAGAGCUCAACGGUUAGUGCUUUCUCAUUGCCUCCAUU